GGAGAUUGGUGGCGGGCGGAGUCCUCGCCAAUCCGGUCAGGUCCGGAAGGAAGCAGCCGCAACGAGUUUCGCUCCGGGUCGUCGCCAGUCUCCACC
rnacentral:SRP_RNA from 1 species